GAACACUCCUCCGCCCUUUCAGUGGGAGGAGCCUCGGCAACAGAUGCUUUAAACCAUGUUGGUGGCAGUUACAUCCACUUUUAUUAAAAGUCUUUGCAGAGUAAUGCCAGUGACUUGUGCAGCAAAUAUAUUGACAGCUAUUAAAUUUCACACUGAUGCUGCAUGAUUUCUCAGGAAAAUAUGUGGCCUUGAGUAAAAGAGUAACUUGUUGUUUCAAUGUAACACUAAAGUAGGCCAUAAUAAACCUGGACUGUCAUUGUAACUCUGUUUAACUGAAUGCUGCAGGACUAGUUUUGUUGUAAAAUGUUGAUACAAAUUACAACUGCAAUUACAAUUACGAUUAUCCAAACAAUCACAUCACUGCAAUGCAGAUAUACAUCUACAGCUGAUGGAACAAAUUGUGUGAUUGUGUGCUCUUAAAGUCUUUCUAUGUCUGUAUUUUUGUUUUUUCUCUUCUCUUAAAUUUAAUGUCCCAGACAACUGAAUUCAGAUAAAGUAACUUUUCAUUUGCUCCUCUUUUUUUUUCUUUUUUUUUUUAACAAUAUCAAAUGAAAAUGAUACUUCAGCAGCAGUUUGUGUAAGCAAAAUAGACUCUAAGAUGUGAUUUUAUUUUAUAUAGUCUAUCUAAAGGCAUACUUAUACUGCAGUUUUUUGUUUGUUUGUUUUAAUUCAGGCACGUCAAUCCAACAAUCAUGUUUCAUUCAUGAGGCAUCUGUGCAACUCUCACUUAAUGGAAAAAAAAACAAAAACAUGUAUCCUCUGUUUUGAUAAAUGAAUAAUUCAAUUUAGUUAAUCCACCUCAAUAGAAAUACCUCAUACAUUGUGCAGAUACACUCAGUAUACUACCUGACACUAGGGGCUGAGGGGAAAUUAUAUUGUAAUGAUUAUAUUAAAGUUAAAGCCUAUAUGGUAAAUAGAAUUAUGCACCAGCAAUGUGUCAGAUUGUUACCAAAAGGAUACUGAAAAUUAAUUUGAGUAAACAACUUUUCGUUGGAAUAACAUGGUACAUUUAUUUCCCACGUCUAUCUGUACUCAUCAAAUAUUCUGAUCUUAACAUUAAGCAGGGAACAUCAACAAAAUCAUGUUAUAAAACUUUAUGGGCGUCGACUUCUGCCACUCGUGUGUUGACGCUGCCUUCAGUAGUGGCCUAUCUGUUUCCUUCUUCUUGAGGGUGUUUUUUUUAAGUGUUGUUUAUGUGUAUGUGUAUGUGGGUUUUGUUUUGUUUUUUUGUUUUUUUCCCAAACGAUAUAUUUUUAAGUCGGUAGUUUUACGUAUUUCGCCGCCGUCCGCGUGUUUACCAACAGCCCUGGGAAAUCAAGUGGUGAAACUUGAGAGUCGCACUUGGAGAGGAAGUAGUUGAUUUAUGCUAAUGAAGGAGUUGGGGUUUAGCUACGCUGGCUGGGAGCCGCCCUUCAUUCACCACAUGGUUAAACCUCGAGUGUACUCGCGCCACUUUCGCAAUCUUACUACGAUUCCCAAACUCCUGGCAAAUCAUAAUAGUAGCACAUGGUUGUGCUUUUUGGGGAUUAUACGUCUUAGCUGCUACUCUUUCAGCGAAGUCUUUUUUUUCUCCUCCUCAGUUUUUUUUUUUUUUUUUGCAAGAUGCCCUCCGAAACAGUGUGAGUAAACGACCCCUGUGCACAUCUGUAUCUCCCAUGGAAAGCCCCCCCCAGUGUGGAUUGAAAGGCAAUCCUAAUUGAUUCCUGAAAACCCCCCCACCAACAGUUUGGAGUCAAUGUAGUGUCAAAGUGCUUACAGUGCAGGUAGUUUUAACAAAUCUACUGCAGUGAAGGCACUUUCAGCACUAUUCUGAUAAUGGUAACUAAAGGAUCAGGCCUAUUCACAGACACAGCUGGUCCAUGCCAGUCCAGCAAAGACUGAACCUGAAUACUUGUGAGUACACAUCUGGCAGGACCUCCUCCUCCAUCCAGCUGUGAGGUUUGGUUCCCUGCUGUACAGAGUGAAGCAACUGUGUUCUGGAGCGAGGCCCCUGCGUCAAACAUGCUUUAUUUUUGAGCGACCAUGCAUCCUGUGACUGUUAAUGGCAUUUAAUUCAACAGUACAUAAAGUCUGUGUUGCUACGGACGUUUUCUUUUGAAUUAAAUAAUGAAGUCUCAUGUCAUACAAACAACGUGACAUAAAUGUAACUUUCUAGGAUUUUUUUUUCCCAUCAUGAUGAUUUACUGUUAAACAGAAGUUGCUCUUGCGUGCUUUCUACUAGUGCUUAUGCUAAGGUGCAUCUAGUGCAGAUAGUGAAGUAGACUAGCACCUACUGCCCUAAGUGCUCCUUCUGGCAUAAGGAGCUGGGACUCUCAUCUGCUCUUUAUUUUUUUGUGUUUCGUGUAUACAGACUUUAAAUUGUAGCAGCUCUCUGUUAGUUUUGCAUAGUUGCGCUGCAAGAAAAAUUAAGUUGUGCAAAUCUAUGCAAAACUGAUGGUGUUCUGUGCUUCCAUCUGAAUCCGUUUGUUGGCUACUGUUCCUUCCUGCAUGGUGGUCAGUCACCAUAAGGUACAGACAGGUUUCAGUAGUAUUAAAGUGCUUAUAGUGCAGGUAGUUUUAUGAAAAUCUACUGCAGUGUGAGCACUUAAAGUACUUCUAGACACGCGUUUCUUCUCGGAAAGACUGCCGUGGUUGCGCGUGCAUAUGGGUCUCUGGUUAGUUUUGCUGGUUUGCUUUCAGCUUUUCGUUGUACUGCUGUGCAAAUCCAUGCAAAACUGAUCAUAGAACUGAAAUCAUUCCAUCAGAUGUGAUCCCUUUCUGUGCAGGUUGGGAGAGGUAGCAAUGCUCUCAAUCUGUGUGGUAUUGCACUUGUCCCGGCCUGUUGAGGAAAUGGGGAAUUGUUCUGCACCAAGUUUUCCACACAUUUUGCUUCAGAGUUAAGCCAAUAUCUGACCACUGAAUGCAAUGUAGAUUAAUUUUUGUUUCCUACAAAGUGUGUAAAUGCAGUAAUAUUUUGGUAAUAAAAUGUUUGAAUUACUCGCUGAGGUAUUUGUUGCCUUUUUGACCAUAAAGUGCAGUAAUCUACCCAAUGAAUGGCUGAGGAGAUUUAAAAGACUAGUUAUAUUUUUUGAAUAAUAUGUCACUUUGAUAUUUGAUUUAUCAUCUAAAUAUGAAAAUAAUACUUUUGUUUUAUGGUGCAUCAGUGAAGGGUUGCAGUCAUUAAGUUGUAUAAAAAAUGAAUUUCAUUUUAAACUUUACACACCUUUCAUUUUUCCCUAUAUUUUUUGAAAUGUCUGAACAACCUUCAAUUACUUGUAAUUUUAUCUUUUGAAAAAAUACCUUUUUGUAGUAUAAUUGUUUUAACAAAAUAUAUUUGAAAUGCCUUUUAAGCUUAUAUAGAGUCCACAGUUGGUU